rnacentral:snRNA from 1 species
AUACCUUUCUCGGCCUUUUGGCUAAGAUCAAGUGUAGUAUCUGUUCUUAUCAGUUUAAUAUCUGAUACGUGGACCAAUGGUUUACACGAUAUUAAAUUAAUUUUUUGAAGGGGUGAGUCCAUUACAGUAGCUUGCUAUUGGGGCUCACACGUGUCAUUCAUGUGUUGCACUACAACAAGGUCUGGCGCACCCUAC